UAUUACCUAGCUGGUUGCCGAAUCCAAGUUAGUGAAUUCGCUUUGUUUGCUUAACCUUCUAACUGUCAGUGUAGUGCAGUCAGUUCUCAGUAGUGUCAACAACUAGAGAAAAAAUUUGUUUUCAGAAGAAUUCUUAAAGUGGACUGCUGAUUAAACUGGAAAACUAUUUCGAGCAACAUCUAGCAAAUUCUUUGAAUCAUGACAGUAGAAGAAACCCUUCGGAGAACAAAGUGAAGAAGAAAAAGUGAGAUUAAAGUGAGGACAAGUAUACCUGCCAAGUCGUCAAAGAAUCUGGACCAUUUGUCAAAUUUCAGCUAGAGUGGCACUUGCCACAGCACAGUACAAAUCGCAUGCAUGAUAUACUAAACAAGCCAGGAGCUAUCAACACCCUUCACCUGACAAUCCCAAAGUUUCAGGAGUCUGAUAGUGGAAAGUACCGUUGUGUUCAGAGGUCUAUUACUACCAUCAAAGUUUUUGAAAUGAUUUCAGCCGUUUCCAAAAAAACUCUUCAUUUUUCAUCAGCACAGAGACUUUUUGUUGGGAAAUCAUUUGUUAGAUUUUUGGGUGGACCAUCUAUUAUUCAAAAACCUAUUGCUCAGCCAAUUAAUUUGGCAAAUGAACCUAUUUUAGGUUAUUUGAAAAGCAGCGAAGAAAGAGUUGCCUUGGAAAAUGCAUUACAACAUAGGCAAUCUACUGUUGAAGAAAUUCCAAUUGUUAUUGAUGGCAAAGAAUAUUGGACUGAUGUUCAUUUUAACUUCAUGUGGUUAAUCAAACAUGAUUUGUUUUCAGAUAUGACUAUCCCAAGGAAUGGCCAGAAUUGCUGCCUUCCCUCUUGCAUCUUGUGAGAACUGAAGAUGAUUUGGUUCAACAAAGAGCCUUGCUGUACUUGCAUCAUGUGACAAAAUCUCUUGCCUCUAAAAGACUGGCAGGUGAUCGACGCGCGUUCCAGGAUCUGAGUUCCGAAAUGUACAGCUAUGUUUGCGCCCUUUAUAGUCAUCUGAGUCAAACGCUUCUGCAACAAAUGGAGGCGCGUAAUGCUGAAAUAGUUGGGGCUACGAUGGAGAAAGCAUUACUGUGUUUGCGCGUUAUCCGUAAAUUGACUGUUCAUGGUUUUAAGACACCUCAUCAAACCAAUACUGUUAUGGAAUUCGUUCAGAGUUUUACGAGCGAAUUAAAAACCUUCUCCAAUACCGUCAAGUUGUUCUUUCCAAUGACCCAUUGUUGGCGUUGUGCGAAAAAUAUUUGGUUGUUCAGUGCAAGGUUAUCCGGGAUCUCCUAGACUUCCAUCCUUUUUCCUUUGUCCCGUUUAUCCGUAUGACCGUAGAAUUCGUUCUUCACUAUUUGUUCCAACCAGAGAACCAAGUUCUACUCUUCGAUUCCUUUGUUGUGCAGUCCCUAAAUCUGGUGAAGGGCAUUGCACUUUGUGCCGAAUAUAGACCAGGAAAGAUUAUCGAAUAUACCAAGAGCCUGCCACUCUUGAGGCCUAUCGCAUAAAGUCGGAAGUUUUUACACCUGAAUCACUCAUUGAUGUGCCGUCAAUUAAUUGAAAAUUAUUUGCUGCUGUCACAAGAGGAUCUACAUGUCUGGGAAACAAAUCCGGAAGAAUUUGCCGCUGAAGAAGGUGGAGAAGCUUGGAAAUACAGUCUUAGGCCUUGUACGGGAUGUUUAUUUCUAAGUCUCUUCCACGAAUAUCAAUUGAUCUUGAGUCCCGUACUGAUUUCGAUGCUUAACGAGAGCAUGGGACUGAUACCACCAGAUGAUAUGAAUCGUAUAAUCAAGAAGGAUGCACUUUACAAUGCUAUUGGACUUGCAGCCUUUGAAUUACUCGAUGAGGUGGAUUUUGAUCACUGGUUUAGUCAGAUUAUGUGGCCCUAUUCCGCUCUUCAACCAUUCUUUAUUUAAGAAUAGGUAGGAGAAAAUGUUGACCGCUUCCGGAAUUUGCCGCGUUUGGUUGGCGAGUGCGGAGGGAAGAAUUACCAUUGGCUUCAUUCAUCUGCAAAUGUGGAGCACGUUGUCAAUUCUACCCUUCGUGGCGCUUUUGAGUAUUCCGGACAAAAGUGUUCGGCAACGUCAAGGUUAUAUGUCCCAUCCUCAUUAUGGAAACAGAUAAAGGAAGGGCUAAUCGAGGGUAUGAAGCAAAUGAAAAUUGGUCCAGUCACCGACUUUGACUCAUUUACGUCUUCGGUCAUUGAUAGUCGAGCUUAUGAGCGCAUAACCUCUUAAAUUAAGCACGCCGAACAGUCACCGGAUCUUCAGAUUAUUGCUGGUGGGCAGCGAAUAAAAGUGUCGGGUAUUUUAUACAUCCAACCCUAGUAGAAACUAAAAAUCCCCGUGAUCGCAUAAUGGUGGGAGAAAUUUUCGGACCCGUUCUCACCGCCUUCGUUUAUGACGACAGCGCACUAGAAGAAACAUUAGACCUGGGUCGACCACUUUGGAUGGCUGGGUCGACCACGGGUGCACUGAUGCCUCCUGGAUAUGGCCGAUACCAAAUCACCACAAGCUGCCAUACUUCACAACAACGAGGUCUCCAAUUACUACACCACUGUGGGACUGAAUAUUACAAGACUAUGUAUGCUGCUACUUUCUACUACACCAAGGCCCCUAAUCCCCUACUGAUUGUCUACUGAAAUCACCAACAUACUCAAGUUUGAAAAAAUAAGUUUUGAUUUUCGCAACAAUUUUAUUUAAUUUUCUAAAAAUAAAACAUUCAUGGUUCCGAUGUGUGAUAAACUGUUAUAAUUAAAUAAAUUGAUUUCUACUGCCAAA